GCAACUCUCACUUUAUAUCUUUAUUUCCUUGAUCACUGCUAACUCUGGGAUCUUUUCUGUACCUCCUCCCUAAUUUACUUCUUACUUAUUUAUUUAUUUAUUUCCAGAUAAUCUUCUUCCCUAAAGAAGCGGGGAGAGAUGAGGGGUGGGGAGAAGAGGAAUACUUUUGUAUUUUAGCUUACUAUUAGAUGGGCUUUAUUCCUACUCUUUAUGCUGCCUUAAUUUUAAAGGGGUGAGAGGAACCCAAUGUUUUUGGGGUGGUUCCUUCAUGUGUAUGUAACAUCUCAUUAAGCAGGCUGAAGUUGGAACAUCACAUAGCUACUGACUGUAAAUUUGCCUACUUUGCAAUGCCUUCUGGAUUUUUGAUUGAAGAAAUUGAACUUUGAAUCUAUACACAUUCAUGCAUCAUUUAGUUAGCUUGCAGAACUCAGCUCCAAUUAAAAUUCUGAGCUGAGAGGAAGAGAGAUCUGUGAAGACCCCUUUCCUGAAGAAAUAAUACAGGUUUAAAUGCUGUUUUGUGGAUGGGGUUUAGGACUAUUGUGUUCAGUGGGGAAAACUGGAGUUUGAUCAUCCUACUGAUGAGUAUCUUCAAUCAAAUGGUGGCAAGCACUUUCCCUGCAAGAGAGUACUUAUUGUUUAAAACAGUGCAUAAGGAAAUCCUCAUGUAAGCCUUUUUCUUUAUCUGUCUACAUAUUUUGUAUCUGGAAAUACUUGUAGAA
rnacentral:lncRNA from 1 species